UGGGGAAUAUUGCACAAUGGGCGAAAGCCUGAUGCAGCAACGCCGCGUGAAGGAAGAAGGCCCUUGGGUCGUAAACUUCUGUUCUAAGGGAAGAUAAUGACGGUACCUUAGGAGCAAGUCCCGGCUAACUACGUGCCAGCAGCCGCGGUAAUACGUAGGGGGCGAGCGUUAUCCGGAAUUAUUGGGCGUAAAGAGUACGUAGGUGGUUAUCUAAGCGAGGGGUUUAAGGCAAUAGCUCAACUAUUGUUUGCCCCGCGAACUGGGUGACUUGAGUGCUGGAGAGGAAAGCGGAAUUCCUAGUGUAGCGGUGAAAUGCGUAGAUAUUAGGAGGAACAUCAGUGGCGAAGGCGGCUUUCUGGACAGUAACUGACACUGAGGUACGAAAGUGUGGGGAGCAAACAG
rnacentral:rRNA from 1 species